rnacentral:lncRNA from 1 species
AGGUAUGAGUGCAAUAACAGUUUCAUUGCAAAAAAAUCAGUUGACACAUUAAUUUAAUUAGACAAAAAAAUUGAAAUAGACUGGUCAAUGUACUAGCAUCUUUCAUUUAUAGAAAAAUCAUCAAUAUUAUUGGUAUCUAUACUGUAUAAGAUGAACUUAGCUAAACGCUACAUUUUCGUGAUCUCACCUAACGUUAUUGAACUUUUCCAUUGCAGAUGGUGCUGCAUCACUGGAGUGAUGAGGACUGCGUGAAGAUCCUCGCCAAUUGCAAGAAGGCAAUAGCUUCACGAGAAGAGGGAGGAAAAGUUUUGAUUGGAGAUAUAGUUCUCGACCCUGCUUCAGAACCUGUAAUGUUUGAGACCCAUCUCUUGAUGGACGUCUGCAUGAUGCUUAUGAAAGGAGGCCGGCAACGCGACUUAAAUGACUGGCGUGACAUCUUCAUCAAAGCAGGGUUCAGCGACUUCAAGCUUGUCAAGAAAUUUGGAGCUCGAGGUGUCUUGGAGGCCUACCCGUAAGAUUUCUCCUGGACAUUCUUAUAUUGCGGUUGGGCACCAUAAACCUAUAGUGAAUAAAUAAAAAGAGUGCCAUAAUUUUCGAACUAUCGUUUCACGGAACAUGAUCAAGCAGCUUGUUGCUGAGGUUACAAAGCUGGUUUGCUUCAUGAUCUGUAUACUUUCAUUUCGAAAAGUAUAUCUACAAUCUACAACUUGCUCAUAUAUUGUAUGUGUAUGGUAUUGAUAUCCACCAACUGGAGUUGGAUGUGUGUAAUGCCCCUGUUUGCCCCUGUUUCUCAGAAAAGCAACCAUUGUACACUACGGGAAAUAUAAUAUGCAUAAUGGUUGCUCUCCCACCUUCAUGAGGACAGCCUAUUGGAUGACUCGCAUCGGGUGCCAUCAAAGAACCCAUUAACUACUAUAUUCAUGGACUGGAAGGAAAUGAGGCAAUCAUCUAGCUACUACGUUUUUGGGUGCCUUGAUACAAAGCGCCUUCAUGCUAUUAUAUAGGCACUUACCAUAAGUACCAGUAAACAAUUAACUCAUACAUCUCGUAGCCAAUGAACUAUGAAUCAGCAGAAAAUCAUUAUUUUGUUUGAUCAACUAAAGCGCACGACCUGUGACGUUUGGCACUUAGCCCAAGCAUUACACCGAUAUGUGAUUUAGGUAAUACUCCCACAGUACAUUAUGCAUAACCAACACCUUAAAUUUUGUACAAUCAGACUUUUCGUGAUUUGAUCACUAUUUGUAUAAACUUAUGUCACUAUCAUGAAAACACCUCAGAGAUGCACAUUUUCUUGGUACCUGCUCCCACUCUACUAUAACACCUCUCCGUCCCAUCCAAGCAGUUGGCCUCUUAUUUCUUUUUGGUGUAUGUUUCUCAGCCUCGUUCAUGGUGUCUACCUCCAUGCGAAACACGGGUUCAAAUAAGUGUGCAGGUGCAGUAUCUAUGAAAUAAAGGCAGCAAGUUCUCCCAGUUCACAAGAGAAAAUAUCGUUUAUAAUUAUGGUAAUAAAAUAAUGUAGGUCUCAGGACAAACAACCAUAUGUACUCGCACUUACAAAUGUGAUUGCUUCUUGUAAUCCCAAAUUAGUAAUCGUCAGUGCAUGACUUAAAUUAGUAAACAAUUAACUCAUACUCCCUCCAUCCCACAAAGAGUUAUUUUAAAAAAUUUCAGACAGUAUAGUAGUGGUGAGAAAUGUAUAUGUUGCCCCUAAUAACUAAUACUAGUUGUCAUUAAAAAUCAUGCGGUGUGUUUAGUUUCUCGAUCCUAAAUAAAUGCACGCAUUGAAAUCAGAGAAAUAACACCAAUUGAUUAUUUGAUUGGCUCUACACACUUCUCCAUACUUUUUUAUUAUUGGUGUGAGUGUUGUUUUAGUUAGAUGAGAUUUAUUAGGAGGUAAAGGACACUCUUCGUGGGACAAAUUGUAGAAUCUAAAAGGACACUCUUUGCGGGAUGUAGGGAGUAUAUCUCAUAGACAAUGAACUAUAUGAAUCAGCAGUAACCAUUGUUUGAUCAACUAAAGCAUGACCUAUCAUAUAAGGCUAAUUUAAAUUCUGAUCAAUCAGACAUUUCAUGAUUUGACUAUUUGUAUUUCUAAUUCUGGAGAGUGGAUAUAAGAAACUAUGUCACUAUUAUGAAAACACCCUGAGAGAUGCACAUUUUCUAGAUACCUACUCCCACUCUACUAUGACACCUCUCCAUGCCCUCCAAGCAGCUGGCCUCUAAUUUCUCCUGGAUGUAAGGUUUCUUAGCCUCAUUCGUGGUGUCUCUGUCCACGCGAAACACGCGUGUGCAGAUACAUGUACAGAUGCACUAUCGCUUUCCUGACAUAGAGUCCUGAUCCGUCCAUAGAACCAUCUGUGUCCUCGUGGUCCACGGGAGGAUAGCUAAGGCCUUAUUAAUUAACGGUAGCUUACUGAUAGUAGCUAAGAAACACACUAUAUAAUAACCUUCGUCAAGAAUGCAGAACCCAUCUAAGCAAAGCGCACAAAACAACAGAUAGGAUUGAACAACAAUGGCAACUCAGGCCACGCCCAUUGUAGUGCCCACCGAUGCUGAACUGCUGCAGGCACAGGCCGACCUAUGGCGCCACAGCCUCUACUACCUCAAAUCCAUGGCACUGAAGUGUGCCGUGGAGCUCGGCAUACCUACAGCCAUCUACCGCCUAGGCGGUAGUGCCUCGAUUCCUGACCUGAUCACCGCACUGUCACUGCCCGUAGCUAAGCAACAAUUCCUCAGUCGCCUCAUGAGGCUCCUUGCCUCAUCCGGUGUCUUCAGCGUGGUUGACUCCACUGAGGCUACCUACUCCCUCACCCCAUUGUCAUACCUCCUGGUUGACGGCAUUGAAGCCGAUGACCAUAUCAACCAUGCACCUUUCCUGCUCACUGUAACCGCGACACACUACAUUGACCUAGCAAUGGGGCUAGCUCACUGGUUCAAGCAGGAUGCCAAGAAACCACCCUUUGAUCAUGUGCACGGAGCAUCGCUGUUUGAGGAGAGCAUGGAGCGCAAGCAUCCUGAGUUCCACAAGAUGGCAAUGCAAGGUUUAAUUGUCCAUGACAAUUUCGGAACGAACAUUGCGCUGCGGGAGUUCAGUGACAUAUUCCAGGGGAUAAAUUCAUUGACUGACUGUUGCUACCAUGGGGACGGAAUGACGGCAAAGGCCAUUGCCAAGGCCUUUCCACACAUGAAGGUCACUGUGCUAGACCUUCCACAAGAGAUUCGAAAAAUACCAACUGAUGGUGUUGUUAACUAUGUUGGAGGUGACAUGUUCAAGUCCAUCCCACGUGCUCAAGUGGUGAUGCUUAAGGUAUGAGUGCAAUAACAGUUUCAUUGCAAAAAAAUCAGUUGACACAUUAAUUUAAUUAGACAAAAAAAUUGAAAUAGACUGGUCAAUGUACUAGCAUCUUUCAUUUAUAGAAAAAUCAUCAAUAUUAUUGGUAUCUAUACUGUAUAAGAUGAACUUAGCUAAACGCUACAUUUUCGUGAUCUCACCUAACGUUAUUGAACUUUUCCAUUGCAGAUGGUGCUGCAUCACUGGAGUGAUGAGGACUGCGUGAAGAUCCUCGCCAAUUGCAAGAAGGCAAUAGCUUCACGAGAAGAGGGAGGAAAAGUUUUGAUUGGAGAUAUAGUUCUCGACCCUGCUUCAGAACCUGUAAUGUUUGAGACCCAACUCUUGAUGGACGUCUGCAUGAUGCUUAUGAAAGGAGGCCGGCAACGCGACUUAAAUGACUGGCGUGACAUCUUCAUCAAAGCAGGGUUCAGCGACUUCAAGCUUGUCAAGAAAUUUGGAGCUCGAGGUGUCUUGGAGGCCUACCCGUAAGAUUUCUCCUGGACAUUCUUAUAUUGCGGUUGGGCACCAUAAACCUAUAGUGAAUAAAUAAAAAAAGUGCCAUAAUUUUCGAAUUAUCGUUUCAUGGAACAUGAUCAAGCAGCUUGCUGAGGUUACAAAGCUGGUUUGCUUCAUGAUCUGUAUACUUUCAUUUCGAAACGUAUAUCUACAAUCUACAACUUGCUCAUAUAUUGUAUGUGUAUGGUAUUGAUAUCCACCAACUGGAGUUGGAUGUGUGUAAUGCCCCUGUUUCUCAGAAAAGCAACC